rnacentral:rRNA from 1 species
UUAGAUGAAAGAUGGUUCUGCUAUCGCUUUUAGAUGGACCCGCGGCGUAUUAACUAGUUGGUGGGGUAACGGCCUACCAAGGUGAUGAUACGUAGCCGAACUGAGAGGUUGAUCGGCCACAUUGGGACUGAGACACGGCCCAAACUCCUACGGGAGGCAGCAGUAGGGAAUCUUCCACAAUGGACGCAAGUCUGAUGGAGCAACGCCGCGUGAGUGAAGAAGGUCUUCGGAUCGUAAAACUCUGUUGUUAGAGAAGAACACGAGUGAGAGUAACUGUUCAUUCGAUGACGGUAUCUAACCAGCAAGUCACGGCUAACUACGUGCCAGCAGCCGCGGUAAUACGUAGGUGGCAAGCGUUGUCCGGAUUUAUUGGGCGUAAAGGGAACGCAGGCGGUCUUUUAAGUCUGAUGUGAAAGCCUU